GCAAAAUCGAAGAAACGACAUCAUACACCAUGACAUGGUAGUUACUAGAAUGAUGCAAGUAUGUAGAAGAACCUGAGAGACCAAUACCAACCUCCGAAAGACAAACGAAAGACAUGAUCAUUGAGAAUAUUGAAAGUCACUUGCAGCUAGCCCAAAAUGAAACUGAACCAGAACACACGGCCAACCUAAAACACACACCAUUGUUGUUCGACUUGUCUUUCAACUAGACAAAUGCGAAAGCCAUUUUUUUUUUUUUUUUUUCUUUUUUUUUUUUUUUUUUUUUUUUUUUUUUU
rnacentral:lncRNA from 1 species